CCUACGGGUGGCAGCAGUGAGGAAUAUUGGUCAAUGGACGAGAGUCUGAACCAGCCAAGUAGCGUGAAGGAUGACUGCCCUAUGGGUUGUAAACUUCUUUUAUAAAGGAAUAAAACGAGGCACGUGUGCCUUUUUGCAUGUACUUUAUGAAUAAGGAUCGGCUAACUACGUGCCAGAAGCCGCGGUAAUAAGGAGGAUCCGAGCGUUAUCCGGAUUGAUUGGGUUUAAAGGGAGCGUAGAUGGGUUGUUAAGUCAGUUGUGAAAGUUUGCGGCUCAACCGUAAAAUUGCAAUUGAUACUGGCAGUCUUGAGUACAGUUGAGGUAGGCGGAAUUCGUGGUGUAGCGGUGAAAUGCUUAGAUAUCACGAAGAACCCCGAUUGCGAAGGCAGCUUACUAAACUGUGACUGACAUUGAUGCUCGAAAGUGUGGGUAUCAAACAGGAUUAGAUACCCCUGUAGUC
rnacentral:rRNA from 1 species